UUGAAGAGUUUGAUCAUGGCUCAGAUUGAACGCUGGCGGCAGGCCUAACACAUGCAAGUCGAGCGGAUGAAGGGAGCUUGCUCCUGGAUUCAGCGGCGGACGGGUGAGUAAUGCCUAGGAAUCUGCCUGGUAGUGGGGGAUAACGUUCCGAAAGGAACGCUAAUACCGCGUACGUCCUACGGGAGAAAGCAGGGGACCUUCGGGCCUUGCGCUAUCAGAUGAGCCUAGGUCGGAUUAGCUAGUUGGUGAGGUAAUGGCUCACCAAGGCGACGAUCCGUAACUGGUCUGAGAGGAUGAUCAGUCACACUGGAACUGAGACACGGUCCAGACUCCUACGGGAGGCAGCAGUGGGGAAUAUUGGACAAUGGGCGAAAGCCUGAUCCAGCCAUGCCGCGUGUGUGAAGAAGGUCUUCGGAUUGUAAAGCACUUUAAGUUGGGAGGAAGGGCUGUAGGCUAAUAUCCUGCGGUUUUGACGUUACCAACAGAAUAAGCACCGGCUAACUUCGUGCCAGCAGCCGCGGUAAUACGAAGGGUGCAAGCGUUAAUCGGAAUUACUGGGCGUAAAGCGCACGCAGGCGGUUUGUUAAGCUAGAUGUGAAAGCCCCGGGCUCAACCUGGGAUGGUCAUUUAGAACUGGCAGACUAGAGUCUUGGAGAGGGGAGUGGAAUUCCAGGUGUAGCGGUGAAAUGCGUAGAUAUCUGGAGGAACAUCAGUGGCGAAGGCGACUCCCUGGCCAAAGACUGACGCUCAUGUGCGAAAGUGUGGGUAGCGAACAGGAUUAGAUACCCUGGUAGUCCACACCGUAAACGAUGAAUGCCAGUCGUCGGGUAGUAUACUAUUCGGUGACACACCUAACGGAUUAAGCAUUCCGCCUGGGGAGUACGGUCGCAAGAUUAAAACUCAAAGGAAUUGACGGGGGCCCGCACAAGCGGUGGAGCAUGUGGUUUAAUUCGAAGCAACGCGAAGAACCUUACCAGCUCUUGACAUCCCGAUCGCGGUUUUCAGAGAUGAAUUCCUUCAGUUCGGCUGGAUCGGUGACAGGUGCUGCAUGGCUGUC
rnacentral:rRNA from 1 species